AGUGAGCCACAGGCUGGCUAGAAGAAGGGUUUUUUUAAAACUGUCUUUUCUUUUAAGACACAGGAGUAUUGUAAACCCCAUGAGUUUGGAUUCCUUAUACAAACAGAGAUGAGAAUACACCAUUUAACACUAGAUUAUGCUUAUUCGCUGAUGAAAAUGACCAGAAGAGAAGUCAAUGAUGCAAGAGAGAAGGGUAUGGCUCAAGUAUGCCACAUGACUUCCAAGACUACAUCAGAAAAGGCUGUGCAGAUCCCGCCUGGGUCUCCAAGGGCACUCACUCCGGGGGAAGCCAGCUUCGUGUGAGAAGUCCAGCUACUCUGAGACCACCAUGCUGGAGAGGCCAGUGGAUAUGCUGGUAACAGCUCAUCCAGACUUCCAGCUGACACUCAGUGUUAAUGCCAGCCUUGCGAGUGAGCCUCCUUGGACGCCCAGCCCGGCUCCCUUCUGGCUGCGACCAAAACCUUAAGAGAGACUCAGGCAAGAACUUCCCGUCAAAGUCCUUCCCAAAUUUCUGACCCCCAAACUCCAAGCAGAAUAAAAUGGUUGUUUUAACCUACUAAAUUUGAGGAUAAUUUGUUACACAGAAAGAGUAACUGGAACAUGUUUUUUAUGGAUUCAAAGAAUUGUGGGUAUUAUGGUAAUACAGUAAGAAAGCAAAGAAAAAAAGUGAUGGUCAGAGAAUCGGAUGCUUAAAAUUGAGUCAGGAGGUGGCGAACUUAUUGGUUAUGACAGCAUUCUUAGAUUUUCAUCUUUAAUAAAUAUUUUUGCAGUUUUA